rnacentral:rRNA from 1 species
CAACAGCUCAAAUUUGAAAUCUGGCUCUUUUAGGGUCCGAGUUGUAAUUUGCAGAGAGCGCUUUGGCGUUGGCAGCGGUCCAAGUUCUUUGGAACAGGACGUCACAGAGGGUGAGAAUCCCGUACGUGGUCGCUAGCCUUCGCCGUGUAAAGCCUCUUCGACGAGUCGAGUUGUUUGGGAAUGCAGCUCUAAAUGGGAGGUAAAUUUCUUCUAAAGCUAAAUACUGGCCAGAGACCGAUAGCGCACAAGUAGAGUGAUCGAAAGAUGAAAAGCACUUUGGAAAGAGAGUCAAAUAGCACGUGAAAUUGUUGAAAGGGAAGCGCUUGCAGCCAGACUUGCCUGUAGUUGCUUAUCCGGACUUUUGUCCGGUGCACUCUUCUGCGGGCAGGCCAGCAUCAGUUUAGGCGGUUGGAUAAAGGUCUCUAUCACGUACCUCCCUUCGGGGUUGGCCUUAUAGGGGAGACGACAUGCAGCCAGCCUGAACUGAGGUCCGCGCAUCUGCUAGGAUGCUGGCGUAAUGGCUGUAAGCGGCCCGUCUUGAAACACGGACCAAGGAGUCUAACAUCUAUGCGAGUGUUUGGGUGUCAAGCCCAGACGCGUAAUGAAAGUGAACGGAGGUGGGAACCUUUUAGGUGCACCAUCGACCGAUCCUGAUGUCUUCGGAUGGAUUUGAGUAAGAGCAUGGCUGUUGGGACCCGAAAGAUGGUGAACUAUGCUUGAAUAGGGUGAAGCCAGAGGAAACUCUGGUGGAGGCUCGCAGCGGUUCUGACGUGCAAAUCGAUCGUCAAAUUUGGGCAUAGGGGCGAAAGAC